AGAGUUUGAUCCUGGCUCAGAAUAAACGCUGGCGGCGUGCUUAACACAUGCAAGUCGAACGUGAAAGCUUCUUCGGAGGCGAGUAAAGUGGCGAACGGGUGAGUAACGCGUGAGAAUCUGCCCUAUAGUGAAGGAUACUACUGAGAAAUUGGUAUUAAUACUGCAUAUCUUCGCAAGAAGAAAGGUGGCCUAAAAGCUGCCGCUAAAGGAUGAGCUUGCGUGCUAUUAGCUAGUUGGUGGGGUAAUGGCCUACCAAGGCGAUGAUGGCUAGCCGGCCUGAGAGGGUGUACGGCCACAUUGGAACUGAGAAACGGUCCAGACUCCUACGGGAGGCAGCAGUGAGGAAUAUUGCACAAUGGGCGAAAGCCUGAUGCAGCGACGCCGCGUGAAGGAUGAAGGUCUUCGGAUUGUAAACUUCUGUUAAUUAAGAAGAAAUAGUAAGGAGUAAUAUGCCUUACUGAUGACGUUAUUAGUUGAGAAAGCCCCGGCUAACUUCGUGCCAGCAGCCGCGGUAAUACGAAGGGGGCAAGCGUUAUUCGGAAUGAUUGGGUGUAAAGGGCGUGUAGGCGGCGCAAUAAGUUUUUUGUUUAAUUCUUCGGCCUAACCGAAGGUGCGCAAAAAAUACUGUUGUGCUAGAGUAUGAUAGAGGAAAGUGGAAUUCUCGGAGUAGCGGUUAAAUGCGUAGAUCUCGAGAGGAACGCCAAUGGUGAAGACAGCUUUCUGGGUCAUUACUGACGCUGAGACGCGAAGGCGUGGGGAGCAAACAGGAUUAGAUACCCUGGUAGUCCACGCAGUAAACGAUGCCACGAUUAUGACUCCUAAGUUAACUGGAACAUUACUUCCAGGUAUUACAAGAGAUUCCAUUCUUACUCUGGCAAAAGAUCUUGGAUACAAGACUGAAGAAAGUAUGAUUUCAAUCGAUCAAUGGCGUGAUGGUGUUAAAAGUGGUGAGAUUACUGAGAUUUUUGCAUGUGGAACUGCAGCGGUUAUAUCAGCAGUAGGUGCAGCAAAGAGUGCUCAAGGAACCUGGC
rnacentral:rRNA from 1 species